AAGCGCUUGCAACCAGACUUGCGCGCUGUUGAUCAUCCGAGCUUCUGCCCGGUGCACUCAGCAGCGUUCAGGCCAGCAUCGGUUUUGGUGGGCGGAUAAAGGCCUUGGGAAUGUAUCUACCUACGGGUAGACUUAUAGACCAGGGUGUCAUGCGGCCUCUCGGGACCGAGGAACGCGCUUCGGCUCGGAUGUUGGCGUAAUGGUUGUCAGCGA
rnacentral:rRNA from 1 species